rnacentral:rRNA from 1 species
AAAAGAAACUAACAAGGAUUCCCUUAGUAAUGGCGAAUGAAACGGGAAUAGCCCAACUUGAAAAUCUCCCUUUGGAGAAUUGUAGUCUAGAGAAGCGUCCUCUGUGGCGGCCAGAGCCCAAGUCCGUUGGAAAACGGCGUCAGAGAGGGUGAGAACCCCGUCGGCUCUAGGCUUAGCUGCUCUACGAGGCGCUUUCCACGAGUCGGGUUGUUUGGGAAUGCAGCCCAAAAUGGGAGGUAAAUCCCUUCUAAGGCUAAAUACUGGCGAGAGACCGAUAGCGAACAAGUACCGUGAGGGAAAGAUGAAAAGAACUUUGAAAAGAGAGUUAAAAAGUGCUUGAAAUUGUUGAGAGGGAAGCGUUUGGAGGUUGUGGGUGCGCCUAGGCUUAUACGGUUCCACCGAGCCGUUGUAUGUGCUAGGUGCUGGUCAACAUGGGUUAGCUUGGCGGGAUAACAGUGGGGGUAGAUACCUCACCAAUGCCGCCGAGCUGACCAAGGCGUGAAUGGCGCUCUGUCCUUCGGGAACUGCGUCAUCAAGAUGU